rnacentral:rRNA from 1 species
CCUACGGGAGGCAGCAGUGGGGAAUAUUGCACAAUGGGCGAAAGCCUGAUGCAGCGACGCCGCGUGAGGGAUGACGUCCUUCGGGUUGUAAACCUCUUUCAGUAGGGAAGAGGCGAAAGUGACGGUACCUGCAGAAGAAGCGCCGGCUAACUACGUGCCAGCAGCCGGCGGUAAU